AAAUGUAGGUAAGGAUGUUUUCAACAUCUGUCACCCAUGGAUCUUCGGGGGGAUCUGGCUGGCUAGGCAGGUGUGCCUUUCCUCUAUCACUGCUCCACGUGCAUCCCUCCCAAAGCUGCAAACUGGGGUCAAAGAGACAAAAGUUUCCCUGAAAGAGAAGAAGCAUUGUUCAGCCAAGGCUGUGUGAGUGGCUGCUCUCUGCUGCUACACCCACCAAACAAACGCUUAAAUUUGGAUAAACAGGCAACUACAAUAUGAAUACAAGAAACAGAAAAACCCAAGAGU
rnacentral:snRNA from 1 species